UUAGUUUGGGUUACUUUCCUAAGCUAUUCUUGAAAAUGAGUUCUCUCAUCAAUUAUUCCAUGCUUAUUUCUAGAAAAUAUUAACUUAUUUUAGAAUAUUUGUCUGUCUUUGACCAUUCUGCGCUUUGGCCAAAUCACAGAACAUAUUGAAUUGUCUUCGGCGAAGUACUCUGAUGGCUCAACCAAUCAGCUUGCAGUGGGGUGUCACCUCCCAUCUUUGUCAAACAGUAUGGCUGACGUUCUGUAGUGUGUGUAAGCUUCUAACUCGUGUUGACCUAUUUUAUUCAUUUUAAAUCAUGUCAGUGCUAUUAUUCUUGAAAAACUUGCACUGCGUUAACAAAGUUCCUCUGAGUGUCGCGCGCCCGGUCGUCGGUUGUCUAUAUCACACCGAAAAAGGAGUCUACGGUUACCGACCCCAAAAAAUCGAGGGGGACCCGAAGUUGCAGAGCGACCAUAUCGCUACACUCAAUCAAGAUCAUGGUCUCAUGCGCCUGGUGGAGGCAUACCGAGCACAUGGACACAAGGCUGCUAAAAUUAACCCUCUACUGCCAGAGGACCCUGUGGAGGACACUGUGCCAGAGAUCAACAUGUUGACUGGGGCUGUACAAGGACCUCUCAACACAUCUGGACUGCGUCACUUUGGUAAGGCUGAGGCCUCAGUGGAGGAGGUGCUUGCCUACCUGGAGGGGGCCUACUGUGGCCGCAUUUCCGUAGAGACUAGUCAGUUGACCAGUCUGGAGGAAAGGGAGUGGCUCGCCGACCGCUUCGAGGAGUUGAAGAAGGAGACAUUUGCGGCGGAGGAAAGGAAAAAGUUGGCCAAACUCAUGCUGGAGUCGCAGGAGUUUGAUAAUUUCCUGGCAAACAAGUUUUCCACGGUGAAGCGUUACGGUGGUGAGGGAGCAGAGAGCAUGAUGGGAGUGUUCUAUGAGAUGUUCCGCCUGUUGUCCCACAGUGGGGUGACGGACAUCGUCAUGGGGAUGCCUCAUCGCGGGCGACUCAACCUCCUCACGGGGCUGCUGCAGUUCCCACCAGAGCUGAUGUUCCGUAAGAUGUGUGGCCUCAGUGAGUUCCCAGCGGACUCUCCCUCCAUCGGUGACGUCCUCUCCCACCUUACCUCCUCUGUAGAGCUGGAUUUCGGUGCUGCCCACCUCCUCAAAGUGACCAUGCUGCCCAACCCCUCCCACCUGGAGGCCAUCAACCCAGUCACCCAGGGGAAGACCAGGGCCCGGCAGCAGCUCAAAAAGGAGGGAGACUACUCACCAGACGAGAACGCACAGCCUGGGAAUAAAGUCGUAUGUCUCCAGGUCCAUGGGGAUGCCUCAUUCUCGGGUCAAGGGAUUGUUCCAGAGACAUUCACCAUUUCACUACUCCCCCACUUCAGAGUCGGUGGGAGCAUCCACCUCAUUGUAAACAACCAAGUGGGUUAUACAACUCCAUCUGCGAGAGGGAGAUCGUCUUUAUACUGCAGUGAUGUUGGUAAGAUGGUGGGCUGUGCUGUGGUCCAUGUGAAUGGUGAUGAUACGGAGGAGGUGGUGCGUGCCACACGUUUGGCGGUAGAGUAUCAGAGACGCUUCAGGAAGGAUGUCAUCCUGGACCUGCUCUGCUACAGACGGUGGGGACACAACGAGCUAGACGAACCUGGUUUCACUAACCCUGCCAUGUACAAGAUUAUCCGCUCCAGGAAGAGCAUCCCAGAUUCCUACGCUGACCAGCUGAUCUCAGAGGGCCUGAUGACAGGGGAGGAGUAUAGUGCCAUCAGGACAGCCCACUACGGCAUGCUGAACGACAAGCUGGCCAACAUGACCUUAUACAGCCCACCACCCACCAACCUGCAGGGUCGCUGGGGAGGUCUGGAGGAGCCCCAGGCCAGAGUCACCCACUGGGACACAGGGGUGCCUGUCCCCCUGCUGCAGUAUGUAGGGGCUAAGUCUGUGGAGAUACCCGAAGAGGUCCAGCUACACAGCCACCUUGGGAAGAUGCAUGUGGCGGGUCGCCGCGCGAAGGUGGAGAAUGGAACUAAUCUGGAUUGGUCCACUGCUGAGGCCAUGGCGUUUGGCUCUCUGCUCUGCCAAGGGUUCAACAUUCGUAUCAGUGGACAGGAUGUUGGUAGGGGCACCUUCAGUCAGAGACAUGCCAUGAUAGUUUGUCAAGACACAGAUGACAUGUACAUCCCCCUCAAUCACAUAGACCCUGAACAGAAAGGAUUCAUGGAGGUGUGCAACAGUGCCCUGUCUGAGGAGGCCGUGCUGGGCUUUGAGUAUGGCAUGGCCAUCGCCCAGCCUAAACUUCUGCCUAUCUGGGAGGCUCAGUUUGGAGACUUCUUCAACGGAGCUCAAAUCAUAUUCGACACCUUUCUCUCUGGAGGCGAGGCGAAGUGGCUGCUGCAGUGUGGGAUGGUGAUCCUGCUUCCCCAUGGUUACGACGGAGCAGGACCUGAACACUCCUCCUGCCGCAUGGAGAGGUUCCUACAGCUGUGUGACAGUAAGGAGGAGGGGGUGGAUGGUGACAAUGUCAACAUGGGCGUGGUCAACCCUACGACUCCAGCACAGUACUUCCACCUGCUGAGACGACAGAUGAUACGCAACUUCCGCAAGCCGCUCAUCGUUGCUGGGCCCAAGACUCUGCUCCGAUUCUCUGGAGCAACAUCCAGUCUGGCUGACAUGGCUCCUGGAACCUCUUUCAAACCUGUGAUUGGUGACACCUCAGUCACACCAGCCAGUGUCCAGCGGGUGGUGCUGUGUUCAGGGAAGCACUACUAUGCCCUUUUGAAGCAGAGGGAUGCAUCCGCAGCCACUCAGACCACAGCACUGAUCAGACUGGAGGAGCUGUGUCCCUUCCCUCUGGAAGCCCUGCAGCAGGAGCUCACCAAGUACACCAAUGCCAAUGAGUUCGUCUGGAGCCAGGAGGAGCCCCAGAACAUGGGCCCCUGGUCCUUCGUGGCCCCUAGGUUUGAGAAGCAGCUGGCCUGCAAGCUCCGGUCGGUGAGUCGGCCUACUCUGCCCGCCCCGGCUGUGGGCAUCGGAACGCUCCACCACCAGCAGAACGAGGCCAUCCUAACUGCCACCUUCUCCUCUUGAGCCACCGGGCCCCAAGAUGGCUGCUCCCGUGGGCCCCAGAAUGGAUGCACCCUCCCUCCUCCAGACAAGCACACAGCCAAGACAAUGCAGGAGUGGCUUCGGGAAAAGACUCUGAAUGUCCUUGAGUGUGCCAGCCAGAGCCCGGACUUAAACCUGAUCGAACAUCUCUGGAGAGACCUGAAAAUAGUUCCCAUCCAACCUGACAAAGCUUGAGAGGAUCUGCAUAGAAGAAUGGGAGAAUCUCCCCAAAUUCAGGUUUGCCGUGCUUGUAGCGUCAUACCCAAGAAAGCUCGAGGCUGUAAUCGCUGCCAAAGUACUGAGUAAAGGGUAUGAAUACUUAUAUAUGUCAUCAGUUGUUUUUUUAGUUUUUUAUACAUUUGCAAAAAUGUCAACUUGUUUUUGUUUUGUUAUUAUGGCAUUGUGUCUAGAUUGAUGAGGGUAAUAUUUUUUCAUCCAUCAUUAGAAUUAGGCUAUAACAUAGCAAAAUGUGGAAAGUCAAGGGGUUUGAAUACUUUCUGAAUGCACUGUACAACAGUAUAAGGAAAUGGCAACACUCAAUCUUCUCAAAUAAAUGAACUAUAUUUUCA